GACGUAGGGCGCGAGCGUUGUCCGGAUUUAUUGGGCGUAAAGAGCUCGUAGGCGGCUUGUCGCGUCGACUGUGAAAACCCGCGGCUCAACCGCGGGCCUGCAGCCGAUACGGGCAGGCUAGAGUUCGGUAGGGGGAGACUGGAAUUCCUGGUGUAGCGGUGAAAUGCGCAGAUAUCAGGAGGAACACCGGUGGCGAAGGCGGCCAUCUGGACCGCAACUGACGCUGGAGGCGCGAAAGCGUGGGGAGCAAACAGG
rnacentral:rRNA from 1 species